rnacentral:rRNA from 1 species
GAUGAACGCUGGCGGCGUGCUUAACACAUGCAAGUCGAACGGAAAGGCUCCUGCUUGCAGGGGUACUCGAGUGGCGAACGGGUGAGUAACACGUGGGUGAUCUGCCCUGCACUUCGGGAUAAGCCUGGGAAACUGGGUCUAAUACCGGAUAGGACCACAUUUUGGAUGGUGUGGUGGAAAGUUUUUCGGUGUGGGAUGAGCUCGCGGCCUAUCAGCUUGUUGGCGGGGUAAUGGCCUACCAAGGCGUCGACGGGUAGCCGGCCUGAGAGGGUGUACGGCCACAUUGGGACUGAGAUACGGCCCAGACUCCUACGGGAGGCAGCAGUGGGGAAUAUUGCACAAUGGGCGCAAGCCUGAUGCAGCGACGCCGCGUGGGGGAUGACGGCCUUCGGGUUGUAAACUCCUUUCGCUAGGGACGAAGCGCAAGUGACGGUACCUGGAGAAGAAGCACCGGCUAACUACGUG